rnacentral:misc_RNA from 1 species
CUCAUACAUAUGCAAAGUUCUCAUCAAUAGAAACGAAUUAAGUUCAAACAGCAGGUAAUUGCUAUAAAUUGGUGAAGAGUUCCCUCGACUAUCUUUCUUCUCCAUCAUCAGAUCGACUCCAAACCUUUAUGAAAUAGUAGUGCUUUAUAGUACUUAAUGAAAACAUGAUUAAAUUUACUAGUCACCCUUACGAUUUUUGAAAGUUUCCCUCAAUUUCUCUGGGAUCCCAUCAUCAGAUCCUGGUUUCCUUAUCAUGGUACCAAACUAUGGAUAUCUCCUUUCCAACAAAA